rnacentral:tRNA from 9 species
CGCGGGGUGGAGCAGUCCGGUAGCUCGUUGGGCUCAUAACCCAAAGGUCGCAGGUUCAAAUCCUGUCCCCGCAACCA